rnacentral:rRNA from 1 species
AACGAACGCUGGCGGCAGGCUUAACACAUGCAAGUCGAGCGCCCCGCCAGUGUGUCGGCAGUCUUGUGAGUAACGCGUGGGAACGUACCUUUUGGUUCGUAACAACUCCGUUAUACUUGAGCUAAUACCUGAUAAGCCCUAACGUGGAAAGAUUUAUCGCCUAAAGAUCGGCCCGCGUCUGAUUAGCUCGUUGGUGAAUUAACUGCUCACCAAUGCGACGAUCAGUAGCUGGUAUGAGAGGAUGAUCAGACACACUGGGAGUGAGAAACGUCCCAGACUCUUACGGGAGGGAGCAGAGGGGAAUACAGGAAAAUGGGGGCAAGGAUGAAACAGACAGGCCGGGAGAGUGAUGAAGGCCUUAGGGAAGAAAAGCACUUUUGUACGGGAAGAUAAUGACGGUACCGGAAGAAUAAGCACCGGCUAACUUCGUG